rnacentral:lncRNA from 1 species
AAAACAUUUAGCCCAAAUGAACGUGAAUAUUAGUCUGAAGAAAUAAUUCAAAUCGAACGUAAAAUAAAUAACAAAAAGAAACGUUACGAGAAGAAAUUACGAAAAACAAAGCAUGACUUUCACGUGCCGUUGAUGGAACUAUACUGAUUGUUUCGAAUAUAGGCUUACAAACAACCAACCAAAUGAUUCAUUAUGUUAACAUAUUCAAAAAAAAAUGUGGCAUUGCGUAUUAGGCUAUUGCCUAACGAUGGGUUUUUGUAUCUUUUCGUUUAUAUCUUUUAUGAUGUUUAGGUGAUAAAUGUUAAUGGGAAUAACUAAU